rnacentral:lncRNA from 1 species
AUGGAAUUAGAAAAGAGCUAAAAUAAAAACUGAUGAAGCUCAUGCAGACAAUCUAGGCUAUUUUGAAAGUGAGGAUUUCCUGGUAAACUGAAGAAGAACAUCAGUUGUAAACCUCACGAUUACAGCUCAUGUUACAUACAUCCUCAUUUCUUGAUUCCCUCGACCUUCUUGUGGUACAGACAUAAAUGAAGAGAAGACAUUUAUGCUAACACAGGUAAACUAUCUUCUUUAUAUUAAUUUUCCACUGUAAUUCUACUCCCCUU